UAUGCCGCGGGGUUUCCGUAGGGUGAACCUGCGGAGGGAUCAUUACCGAGUUUACAACUCCCAAACCCAAUGUGAACGUUACCAAACUGUUGCCUCGGCGGGAUCUCUGCCCCGGGUGCGUCGCAGCCCCGGACCAAGGCGCCCGCCGGAGGACCAACCAAAACUCUUAUUGUAUACCCCCUCGCGGGUUUUUUACUAUCUGAGCCAUCUCGGCGCCCCUCGUGGGCGUUUCGAAAAUGAAUCAAAACUUUCAACAACGGAUCUCUUGGUUCUGGCAUCGAUGAAGAACGCAGCGAAAUGCGAUAAGUAAUGUGAAUUGCAGAAUUCAGUGAAUCAUCGAAUCUUUGAACGCACAUUGCGCCCGCCAGUAUUCUGGCGGGCAUGCCUGUCCGAGCGUCAUUUCAACCCUCGAACCCCUCCGGGGGGUCGGCGUUGGGGAUGGCCCUUUACGGGGCCGGCCCCGAAAUACAGUGGCGGUCUCGCCGCAGCCUCUCCUGCGCAGUAGUUUGCACACUCGCAUCGGGAGCGCGGCGCGUCCACAGCCGUUAAACACCCCAAACUUCUGAAAUGUGACCUCGGAUCAUG
rnacentral:rRNA from 1 species